UUAUUGAAUGAACUUGGUGUGGUUGUAGCUGGCCCUCUUGAAAAGGGCAUGUGCACACCCACCAUCCUCAUCUCUCCACCUGUGCACCUCUUGUAGACUUGGAUUGACUUUCCGAGGCAACUCGGUCGGGAGGACUGCUGGCACUAGCUGGCUUUCCUUGCAUUUCCAAGUCUACGUUUUUCAUAUACCCUAUCGUAUGUAAUAGAAUGUAUCAUUGGGCACUUGUGCCUAUAAACCUUAUACAACUUUCAGCAACGGAUCUCUUGGCUCUCGCAUCGAUGAAGAACGCAGCGAAAUGCGAUAAGUAAUGUGAAUUGCAGAAUUCAGUGAAUCAUCGAAUCUUUGAACGCACCUUGCGCUCCUUGGUAUUCCGAGGAGCAUGCCUGUUUGAGUGUCAUUAAAUUCUCAACCUUUAUCAGCUUUUGUUGAUAAUGGCUUGGAUAUGGGGGUUUAUUUUUGCUGGCUUCUUCACGGAUGGUCAGCUCCCCUUAAAUGCAUUAGCCGGUGCCCCGCGUGGACUGUCUAUUGNUGUGAUAAUUAUCUACGCCGUGACAUCUGCAGUCAUAUGGGUUUGCACUGCUUCUAACCG
rnacentral:rRNA from 1 species